UUCAGAUGCAGAAACAGGAUUGAAGAAGGAAACAUUUUGAAAACAGGUGGAGGAGAAAUGAUCAUUUGGGAACAUGUAACAAGGUGGUAGAUGAGGGUCAUCUGUGCUGUAGUAAUAAUAUGGUGCAGAUGAAAGGAGAGGAAGUAAUGACGUGUAAUAAAGAAUUUGACCUGGCCCUAAGAGGUCUGGCCUUUGCCUACAGCUUCUGAAAGGUAAUCUAGGUCACACCUCAUAGGAGUAUCUCUGUUUUGGGUGAGAGCUAGUCACAAUGGAUUUCAGGGUGGGGCUGACCACACUUGACAGUCUUAGCCAUGCCAGAGAAACCACACGAUUUGGAGCGAGGGGCAUUGAGUCACCUGGGAUCAGGCCACUUGGCAGCUGAGAUCAACCACCCAGGGGGAGAGGACACAGAGAAGCUGUGACUUUGGAACCCUCCAGGACUUCAUCCUAUGUGUUGCUUCCCUUGGCUGAUUUUAAUCCGUAUCCUUUCCCUGUAACCAUAACCGAAGGACAUGGUUUCUAGGCCUGCCAGUUUUUGCUUCCUGGCUGACUCUGGUGCUGGUAACAUCUGUGGUCUAAAUUUACUCAGUUUAUCUCAUGGUCAAAGGUAGUGGCUGAAGAAGAGGAGUGUGAGUUUGUUUUCUUACAAAGCAUAAAGAGGAUUAACGGGCCCCAGCAGCAAAUACAAGUUCCUCUGCUUGCCAACCCUUUUCAUCAGCUGCACUGUGCACCCCAGUGAGCUCUGCCGAACCUGCUGCCAUCUGCCUGGACUUUCUUUCUGCAAGAUGGCUCCUACACGAUGACCAUUGCGAAGACUCAGCUCUAGGUGCCACCUACGUGUGCAGGAACGGCCUAUGGGCCUCAGCCCGCUGGGACACUAUGCCGGAUUGGGCUAGAUGGGCGAUCCCAGAUGUGAUGUCAUUUUGACGCCCGGGACCCCAGACUCCUUUCAUCCCGUUCCUUCCACGCCUGUUUCUCCUUGUCUCUCUCUUCCCGCUGGUAAAGCAGCGCGGAAGA